rnacentral:rRNA from 1 species
UACGAAGGGGCUAGCGUUGUUCGGAAUUACUGGGCGUAAAGCGCACGUAGGCUGACUUUAAGUCAGGGUGAAAUCCCGAGGCUCAACCUCGGAACUGCCUUUGAUACUGGAAGUCUUGAGUCCGAGAGAGGUGAGUGGAACUCCGAGUGUAGAGGUGAAAUUCGUAGAUAUUCGGAAGAACACCAGUGGCGAAAGGCGGCUCACUGGCUCGGUACUGACGCUGAGGUGCGAAAGCGUGGGGAGCAAACAGG